UUGUCAAGCAUUAACUUUGAAGA
rnacentral:siRNA from 1 species